rnacentral:misc_RNA from 1 species
UGGUUCUGGCAUCGAUGAAGAACGCAGCGAAAUGCGAUAAGUAAUGUGAAUUGCAGAAUUCAGUGAAUCAUCGAAUCUUUGAACGCACAUUGCGCCCUUUGGUAUUCCGAGGGGCACGCCUGUUCGAGCGUCAUUUAAACAAUCAAGCCCCGCUUGGUCUUGGGCGCGGUCGAGUGACCCGUCCGUAACCCGUUAGCGGUGCAGUCCGGCUUCAAGCGUAGCAAAAAAUCUCGCUUCAGGAGUCCGCGGCGGUGCCCGCCAGGUAACCUAUGUACCUAAAGUUUGACCUCGGAUCAGGUGAGGAUACCCGCUGA